AAAGAAAAUGCCUUCAGAAUGGCUGGUUGCAAAUCCUCAGUGAAAAAAGGAAAGGAAGAUUUGGUGGCAGCGCUGAGAUCUGAAGCAAACAUCUAUUGGCUUUUGGGGACAAUGAGAAACACAGGUGUGGCACCCCGCAAAUGCUGAGAGUUCACUUUCUUGUCAUUUGAGGGCCUUUGCUAGAAGAACCCUGAAGGGCAGAGGACAUUCUUUCUUCCUGACAGUUGGCAUAAACAGCAGGAUGCUUUAAACUCACUGGAUACCACUCUCCCCCGGCACUGCUGCAGCAGAGAGAUCCUUGGGAAAUCUGACAUAUAGCCAGCAGAGGGUAAGAUUUCUUAUCAUGUGUAUCUCCUGGAA